rnacentral:misc_RNA from 1 species
GAAUAAAUGGGAAUGCAAAAAUAUACCCUCCUUGACGGGUUCUUUAUUUCACUUUUCUUUCUCUAGCUUUUCUCUAAAUAAGCUAUAACUCUAUAUCUCUGACCCCCCCAAUAUUUUUAUCAUCAACCCGACUAGAUCUGAAAGAAGCUGGAAAGGAAGAGAAGAAAAAAAAAAGACAGGGCUGGCAGGGAUGAACAAUAAUGGAAUAGUAGACAUGGCUCUCAGCUGCCUAGGCAGAGGAUUUGAUUUAACAUCUGAUUUUCGUCUCAAGUACUGUAAAGGCAAACAAAGAUUAGUUCUGCUUAAUGAAGCUGAAAAAAGAGAGCUGUUGGUCCCUUGUUUUGGAGCUGUAAAAGAUGUAUCCAUUGAUAUCAAGUGUGAUAAAGGUGAUCGAGUUCGAUAUCAAUCCGAUAUCCUAGAGUUCCAACAGAUGUCAGAGCAUUUCAACCAGAAAUCAUCGGUGCCUGGAAAAAUCCCAUCAGGGUUGUUUAAUUCCAUGUUUGGAUUUGAAGGAGGUAGUUGGGCAGCUGAUGCAACCAGCACUAAAUAUUUGGGACUUGAUGGCUACUUCAUUGUUCUAUUUGAUGUUCAUAUUGAUCGCUAUCCCCUGACUCUCUCCGACGAAGUCCUCAAUGCAGUGCCAUCCUCUUGGGAUCCCUGCGCCCUUGCCAGAUUCAUUGAAAAAUAUGGAACUCAUAUUAUCGUGGGGUUGAGCAUUGGAGGCCAAGACGUGGUCCUAGUCAGGCAAGAUAGAUCUUCCAACUUGGGUCCAUCUGAGCUCAAGAAACACUUAGAUGACCUUGGAGAUCAAUUAUUUACAGGGACAUGCAAUUUUUCACCUAAAUGUAGAGAGCAGAAGAACAAGGCUCCACAAGCAUUCAAUGUCUUUGAUCCUCAACCUGUUACCUUCAAUAGCUUCUCAUCCAUGAAUACAAAAGAUGGAAUCACUGUGAUAUGCACAAAGAGGGGUGGAGAUCUAUCAGCAAAAAGUCAUUGCGAAUGGCUUCUGACUGUUCCAUCGAAGCCAGAUGCGAUUCAUUAUAAUUUUAUACCUAUAACUUCCCUUCUCAAUGGUGUUCUUGGCAAAGGCUUCUUAUCACACGCUAUCAACCUGUAUCUUCGAUACAAGCCUCCUAUAUCUGAUUUACAAUACUUUCUUGAUUUCCAAUCUCACAAGAUUUGGGCACCAAUUCACAAUGACCUCCCGCUAGGUCCUACCACAAAUAUGGCAGGUCCUUCACCAGCUCUCCACUUCAACUUGAUGGGUCCUAAAUUAUAUGUAAAUACUACUCAGGUUAUGGCAGGAAAAAGGCCUGUAACUGGAAUGAGGUUCUAUCUUGAAGGCAUGAAAGGUAACAGGUAUGUUAAAUUUCACAAGACAGCUCACAACCACGAAACUACGAUCUAAGAGGACUAGGACUAGCUAUGCCAUUUUAUAUUUUGAUCAUAUAAAUAUGUUUGAUGAUUCAGGUUAGCCAUACACCUCCAACAUCUAUCGAAUACUCCAAAAAUGCUAGAAAACAAGAUAGAUGACACUCAGUGGUGGCGAGGAUCAGAAGAAAGUAAUGAUGAUGGAUUCAUUGAAGUUGUUUCUCGGAAAAUGUUCUCCCAUAUAUGCACAGCACCUGUGAAGUACAACCCGAGAUGGAGUAGAAGAAAAGAAGUAGCCUACAUUGUCACAGGAGCUCAACUUCACAUAAAGAAACGCGACUCAAAGAAUGUCCUUCAUCUUCGGUUGCUGUAUUCCAAGGUUUCAGAUUCUUUUGUAGCGCAGUCCCGGUGGGUUCAAGUCUCCUCUGAAUAUUCACAAAAAUCUUCAGGCCUACUCUCUGCCCUGAGCACGUCGAUAUCAGGAAAUGCAGACAAAAAGAAACCACAGGCAGUGGUUGUGGAUUCUAGUGUGUUCCCAUCAGGACCUCCAGUGCCAGUGCAAACGCAGAAGCUUUUGAAAUUUGUAGACUUGUCACAGCUGUGUAGAGGGCCUCAGGAUAGUCCUGGACAUUGGCUGGUAACUGGGGCUAAGCUGGACUUGGAGAGAGGGAAAAUAUGCUUGCAGGUUAAAUUCUCCUUGUUAAAUAUCUGUUCAUGAAACAGAAUAUUUUUAGUGUAGUACCAUGAUUUUUUUUUCUCAUAUAUAUAUACAACAUAUUGGCUAAUUCUCAAUGCGACCAAUAGAAUUGUGUACAUAGGGCUGGUGGCUUUGACAUUAGUAAUUAAUCGAAAUUAUUUUGUUCUUAUAAAGAUGUAUAUGACAGUUCAGAAUGUUGGAUUAUUUAUUUGCAUCUGGAUGUGGA